rnacentral:lncRNA from 1 species
GACUACGGCUAACACUUCUGAUUGGUCAGUGCCAGUGCCAUACCAGUUAAAAUACCACAUUGUUGACAUAUUUAUAUACGUACAUAUGAACAACCAGGGGAAUGAACCUUUCUGUUUCGUUCAUUACAGUAUUCAUUCUCUCCUUGAACAGUCCCUGACAUCCAGUAGACUUACAUAAUUGCUAAAAGAAAAAUAAAGUGUGUUUAUACUUAUGGUGUCAAAGAAGUAAGGUCUGAAGCAGGGGAACCACAUGAUCAGUCAGGAUUUGGGAACUACUUGAUGAGUCCUAGGAGCAGGAAAGACAUCGGAGUUAAGAGAAUCUGUGUAUGAUACUUUUUUAUGGACAGCCAAAUGAUCUUUCCUUUGGUUAGCCUUGCUUCACAACAUUAAUUUGCUCUUUCCAGGAAGGUUGAAUAUAAUCGAGGAUUGGGUUUCAGGUCCCAAAUUGCCUCAUUAAUGACCAAAUAGGAGACCCAGAGUCAGAAACUAAUCUUACACUAAGCCCACAAGGCGUGGAAGCCUGUGGGAAGGCUUUUAUGUGAUGAGGUAAUCUUACUCAGGAGUUUUGUGUGCAGUUUCCUGGGAUGGUAGAGACACAGUCACCCAUAAAACGAGCCUGAAAGCCUAACUAACCAGAGCUGUUCCUGUUUCCUGACUGCUGGGCACGCGCGCGCGCGCACACACACACACACACACACACACACACACACACAAAGAAAGAAUGGGCACUGUGGAUGCUUACUACUAACCAGAGAGCUGCUCAGGUAAAACUCCCCUACACCAACCUGGGCACCAUUGUCAGCAUGCCCCCAUCAGGGUAAGAGAUGGACAAGAGACACACGCAUUUCACAUCACUUCUGCAGAGUCCAAAAAAAUUGAGUGCAGUGCAUUAAGAAUCCCAUAACACUUCCUGCCUUUACUUAAUAUCUACCUGUGAAUGUCUCUGAACUUCUGAAGCUAUUCCAAGCCAGUGACAUGUUAUUUUUUAUUUUUACUUUGUGAGAUAUAAUCUUCCAUUUGUUCCAAAUUUGUCUUUUUCAGUGUUCAAGGAGUACCUGCUAAACCUUGCAUUUUAUAAUUUGGUGAUUAUUUAGUGCCACACUUCUUAAUGUCUCCUGUCUUUAUGUAAUCAGCCCCAGAUGAAAGUAGUUCUUCAGUAGGCCCCACAUACUUUGGGGAACUGCAAGGCACCCAGGUGCGAACUGUAAACUGCCUCUUGGGUCCAUUACUCUCUUCUCCAUCACACCAAAGAGGUUCUGUGUUUUCUUAAUGAUAGCAAGAUAAUUGAGAUGGAACAAGGUGGCGCUCUGCCCUCUCAUUUCAGCUCUCAUGCUGUAAAUAAGUUUCCUGUUUUUGAUUCAUUCAGUGCCAUGUUAUUUUGCAUUUUUGUCCUUUGUUGAUUCCUCUGUUUAAAAUGGCUCCCAGUGUAGCACUAAAGUGGUAUCUAGUAUUCCUAAAUGUAAAAAAGGCUGCGAUGUUUCUUGCAGAAGAAAUAAAUGGGCUAGAUAAGAUUCAUUCAGGCAUGAGCUGUACAGUGCUAUUGGCCAUGAGUUCAGUUCUUAGUGUGUCAACCAUAUAAGAGAUCCUUAAACAGGAACGUACAGAAAACAAAGUUAUGGGUUGGUUGAUGAAAAUGUUUUGACUAGAGGUUCAAAGGAACCUCAUGUUGUAUUUCUCCUUGGAAUUAGUGUUCCCAGCAACUUAAUAGAACACAACUACCACAAAUAGUAUGAAUAAGAAUCAAUUGCAGUUGUGAGUAAUUGAACAUGCACUACUGUGUUUGUCUUACUAAGGUUAAUAGAUACAAAUUUAUUGCUUCCUCAGAAAAUACUUAUUGAGCAGCUACCAUGCACUGGGCCAUGGGAAUACAGCCUUGCACAAGAGUCCUUAACUUCAUGUAUCUUAUAGCCUGGUAGGGGCAUGAUAUUUUAAAAUGUUCUGCAAACACACAGAACAACUGUGAGUCUGAUGUUAAUGACCAAUUCUAUCACAACAGGGGAUGGACAAAAUUCUUAACCGGAAGGGACUAGGCAAUGUCUGUUUUUUUUUUUUUUUAAGAUUUUAUUUAUUUAUUCAUAAGAGAUACAGAGAGAGGCAGAGACAUAGGCAGAGGGAGAAGCAGGCUCCAUGCAGGGAGCCCGAUGUGGGACUCGAUCUGGGGACUCCAGGAUCACACCCUGGGCCCAAGGCAGGUGCUAAACCCCUGAGCCACCCAGAGAUCCCCAGCAAUGUCUGUUUUAUCAGUUCUUUCCCACCUGUUCUGUCCAUUCUCCUAUCUGCACUAAAAUGUAAUCAGAUCCUCUUCAGUCAGUCCAGGAUCCUGGGAGAAUCUUGAUAGAAAGCAAGUUAAUAGGUCCUUUCCUACUCAUAAGAGAGGUCUGGAAAAAGCCUAGUCCAAGUGUCGCAAAAAGGUCAUGUUUGUGAUACUAACUGAUUACAGCUGCAGCUGCUCGCAUCACUGUAAUAAGAAUGACCAUGGCGCCCUCCUGGGCUGAGCAGAGAAAAGGGCUGGAAUCUCAUAGUAACAGCUGCUGUGUUUUGUAUUUGCGUAACUCAUCAUGGCUGCCCUAUAUCUGAUAUUUGAAUAUCUGGAAGCACAUAGAAUCAAUGAUCCACUUACUGCAUGGUGAUAAAUAUAUAGACUUUCUACUUAAUCAGGGCUAGACUGUGAUUCUAAACUCUUUUGCUAUGCACUUUACUAUUUUCCAUAUGAUUCUAAGAAUCUUCCUUGUCCAAAACAUCUCGUGUCUCACUUUGCAGUCUUUCUUUGUAUACUAACAUCUGCCCUUUGAACUUGUUUUGGGACCACAUGCUCAUCCUCAGAAAGGGAGCCACCAACUCCCCACUUAAAUUUGUGAUGACUCAUUCAUUCCCUGCUAACCCCUCUUCCAGCAGAACAUCUUCAAGAGGCUAAUACAUGAUUUAUAAGCCCUUUUCUCAUCUAGAUCCUUUCUCAUCAUGCCGGUUUGUAUCAUUCAUCCUCUUGUGUGACCCAGGAUGGUGUGAGACCCCUCCAGUCCGCUAG